rnacentral:rRNA from 1 species
CCACCAGACUCCUACGGGAGGCAGCAGUGAGGAAUAUUGGUCAAUGGUCGGGAGACUGAACCAGCCAAGCCGCGUGAGGGAGGAAGGUACAGAGUAUCGUAAACCUCUUUUGUCAGGGAACAAAGACUGGGACGCGUCCCCGGAUGAGUGUACCUGAAGAAAAAGCAUCGGCUAACUCCGUGCCAGCAGCCGCGGUAAUACGGAGGAUGCGAGCGUUAUCCGGAUUUAUUGGGUUUAAAGGGUGCGCAGGCGGAUUUUUAAGUCAGCGGUCAAAUCGUGGGGCUAAACCCCAUCCAGCCGUUGAAACUGCAUCCCUUGAGUGCGCGAGAAGUAUGCGGAAUGCGUGGUGUAGCGGUGAAAUGCAUAGAUAUCACGCAGAACUCCGAUUGCGAAGGCAGCAUACCGGCGCGCAACUGACGCUCAUGCACGAAAGCGUGGGUAUCGAACAGGAUUAGAUACCCUCGUA